GAGUUUGAUCGUGGCUCAGAUUGAACGCUGGCGGGAUGCCUUACACAUGCAAGUCGAACGGCAGCGCGGACUUCGGUCUGGCGGCGAGUGGCGAACGGGUGAGUAAUGUAUCGGAACGUGCCCAGUAGCGGGGGAUAACUACGCGAAAGGCGUAGCUAAUACCGCAUACGCCCUGAGGGGGAAAGCGGGGGAUCUUCGGACCUCGCACUAUUGGAGCGGCCGAUAUCGGAUUAGCUAGUUGGUGGGGUAACGGCUCACCAAGGCGACGAUCCGUAGCUGGUUUGAGAGGACGACCAGCCACACUGGGACUGAGACACGGCCCACGACUCCUACGGGAGGCAGCAGUGGGGAAUUUUGGACAAUGGGGGCAACCCUGAUCCAGCCAUCCCGCGUGUGCGAUGAAGGCC
rnacentral:rRNA from 1 species